rnacentral:rRNA from 1 species
CCUACGGGUGGCAGCAGUGGGGAAUAUUGGACAAUGGGGGAAACCCUGAUCCAGCAAUGCCGCGUGUGUGAAGAAGGCCUGCGGGUUGUAAAGCACUUUCGGUUGGGAAGAAAAGUUUGGCGCCAAUACCGCCGAACCUUGACGUUACUGACAGAAGAAGCACCGGCUAACUCUGUGCCAGCAGCCGCGGUAAUACAGAGGGUGCAAGCGUUAGUCGGAAUCACUUGGCGGGUCAUGUGCGUCGGUGGUCAAAUCCCCGUGCUUAACCUGGGAACUGCAUUCGAUACUACAGGGCUAGAGUAUGGUAGAGGGAAGUGGAAUUUCCGGUGUAGCGGUGAAAUGCGUAUAUAUCGGAAGGAACACCAAUGGCGAAGGCAGCUUCCUGGACUAAUACUGACACUGAGGCACGAAAGCGUGGGUAGCAAACAGGAUUAGAUACCCUGGUAGUC